rnacentral:lncRNA from 1 species
AUCCGUUGUCCCUUUCUCCUCCUAUGAACAUGAAAGCAUCCAUCUCUUUUCUAAUAAUAAAUUGAUCAAUUCAUACUUAUAAACUUAUAUAUAUCAAAGAAGCUUAUAGUAUAUAUCAAUAAGCCAUUUACUAUGCAUUAUUUGGCCAUGUACCAUUAUUGGUGACUGUUAUAUUUUACAAACUGUGUAUAAAUUUAUCUAGAGAUGUGUAGUAGGACGUCGGAUGAAUAUUUUACUAAGUAUAUA